rnacentral:rRNA from 1 species
UCUCACUGCGCGCGGCCAAUGGUCGUCCUCCGGAACACCAAAGGCGCAAAAAACAUAACUUGAGUUGUGCGGGAUUACGGGCGCGGCUCUCUGCAGCGUCCCUCCAUCCCCGGGUGUUGUAACCGGCAUGCGGUGGGAUGCCCCCGGGCCCCCGCCGUGCCACAACAUACCGUGAGUGUGCAGGAUGUGACCCGAAAGAUGGUGAACUAUGCCUGAUCAGGUUGAAGUCAGGGGAAACCCUGAUGGAGGACCGAAGCAGUUCUGACGUGCAAAUCGAUUGUCAGAAUUGGGCAUAGGGGCGAAAGACCAAUCGAACCAUCUAGUAGCUGGUUCCUUCCGA